CUUUUAUAUUCAAGGAUAAAUUUAUUAAUCAACAAAGAAAAAUGAAAAUUCUUAAAAGAUGAGAUCAAUUCAGAAGCACUUUUAUUUAUUAAAAAUAUAUAUUUCUUACAAAUAAUAGACAGAAUUCCAUUGGUCUACCUUAGGAUAAGAGCUUGAAUCUCUAUCUAUCCUAUAAACAUAUCAAGAUAAAUAAUGCCGAAAGAUACUUAGAUUUAUUUACGACCUUUGAGGAGCUGUAUGACGUGAAAAUCUCAUAUACGGCUUUAUAAUAGCAAUGGGAAAAGUGAUGUUAUCAUCGACUAUGAUUAUCUAACAAUUCAAGUACAGUUGAUAUAAUUGAAGUGCAGUCAAAAUAUGGUUCUUGGGGAUGGAAUUUGUGGCAUUAACCUAUAGGGUUUAUUGUUUUUCUAAUUUCUUCUCUAGCCGAGUGUGAGAGAUUACCUUUUGAUUUACCAGAAGCAAAAGAGGAAUUAGUAGCAGGUUAUCAAAUGGAAUAUUCAGGUACCAAAUUUGGCUUAUUUUAUGUUGUUUCGUAUCUAAUUUUAUUAGCUUCUUCAUUAUUUGUAACAGUUCUUUACAUGGGGGCUAGAAUCUUUCUAUUAUGUACAUAUUCGUUCCUGAGCUUUUUGAAAGAGGUAAAGUUUUUGAAAUAAUAAUCGUUAUCUUUAUUACAUUAGCUAAAACUUAUCUGUUCUUAUUCAUUUCUAUAGCAACAAGAUGGACUUUACCGAGACUGAGAAUGGACCAACUAUUAAAUCUUGGAUGGAAAUUUCUUUUAUCUAUUUCUCUAGAUAAUCUAUUAUUAACAAUUUUAUUCCAACUUCUUUCACUGUAAAGGAAUAGAAUAUUCUAUAUUCACAACUUGUCUCAAACAAGAGAAAGAAACAAGUAUAAAAUUAUUUAUGGAUAUUUAUGAUAUGUCUAUGGCAACUAACUUUAUGAAUUAUGGUCAACAAACAAUACAAGUUUUAAGGUACAUUGGUCAAGGUUUCAUGAUCACCUUGUCACAUGUGAAUCAUUUACCUAUAACUAUUCAAUACCCCCACGAAAAAUUGAUCACAUCGGAAUGUUUCCAAGGAUGAAUCCACUUUGAAUUUGAUAAAUACAUUGCUUGUGAAGUAUGUGUUCAUAUAUGUCCUAUAGAUUUAUCCCUUGUUUAUUGGAAAUUGGAAGUGGAUAUUCGAAAGAAAUGAUUACUUAAUUACAGUAUUUAUUUUCGAAUCUGUAUAUUAUGUGGUAAUUGCGUUGAGUAUUUCCAACAAAUUGUUUAUCAGUAACUGAAGAAUAUGAACUUUCUACUUAUAAAUGUCAUAAACUGAAUUAUAAUCAAAUUGCUUUAGGUUGGCUACCGGUGUCAAUAAUUGACGAUUACACAAUUCGAAUAAUUUUGAAUUCACCGCAAGUAAAAAAUGGGAAAAAAUCCUUGAUUGAAACACCAUUCCAUCAUUCUUGAAUCCAAAAGAAUGAGGUUUUUUGCUUGGUCAAUAGGUUGGUUGGUGAGAAUCGUGGCUUAAUUUGGAUUGAAAAUUGAUUUCUAUUCAACUAAUUAUUUCAAAAUAGAGAGUUUCUCUAUAACUGUAUCUACAUUAAUCCACAUCACACCCAUUCCAAUUUAAUUCAAUUAAGAAGUAUCCUCAAAGAUAACUUCUUUUUUCUUGGUCAGAUUAACAAUGCCAUAAAAUAUUUCGCUUUUCCUAUUUUUUUUUUUCAAUAAAAUCAAAGGGAUUUACAUGGACCAAUACAUAAUUUUCUUUUAGUCUUUCUCGGACCGGGUCUUAUAUUAGGAAGUCUAGGAGUAGUAUUACUUCCCAAUCCAAUUUAUUCGGCCUUUUCGUUGGGAUUGGUUCUUUUUUAUAUAUCCUUAUUCUAUAUUAUCGAACUCGUAUUUUUUAGAUGCUACAUAGCUCAUUAUUUAUGUGGGAGCUAUAAAUAUUUUAAUCGUUUUUGCUGUGAUGUUCAUGAGUAAUUUAGAAUAUUACAAAGAUUUUCAUCUUUGGACUGUUGGGGAUAGAGUAACUUCAAUAGUUUGAAGAAGUCUUUUUAUUUCACUAAUUACUACUUGAUGUUAUCCAAGAG
rnacentral:lncRNA from 1 species